rnacentral:misc_RNA from 1 species
GGAUCCACUAUUUGUUGCAAAUGUAGGUGAUUGCCAUUCUGGUAUGUCAAGGAAAAGUUCAUCUCGAUGGGUUCGUGGUGGAAGCAACAGAAAAGCUUCUUCAAGAAAAGAAAGCUUCUCAGGAAUGAGCUAAUUUUAUUUAACAAAAGAGAGGGAAAAUAUAAAGUUGAUAGUGCAAUGUUAAUAGGUCAUAUGUUCUUGUAUAUGUUACCAAUCUUUUGCAGGUCAGUUUUGUGGACGCAUAGUUGUGCAUUUGCAUUAUGCUCAGUAUUGUAAAAUGUAACUUAUUUUUGUUAUAGAUGAUCUAUUAGCUGAGCCAGUGUUGCUGAUGUGGCUUGAAGUUUAGAUCAAAUAAUUAAUUUACACCCUUCUUUUCUUCUUACGUUGUUAGUUUCACUAGAAAGUCCAAUUUAUUUUUUAUUGAUACAUGUAGGGGGGGAAAGGACCUGAGAAACAUGGGUGGACCGAUAGUCAAAUGCUAACUGAGCGUGGGUGAAGCUAUUGGAAGGCGGGUUUAUGCUUGAGCAAAAGCUUGGUGGGUAGCUUAUUAUCAUUUGAAUUUGACUUGGUUUUCAUACAAGAGCAUUAGUAUUUUGAGUUUUUUAUAUUUGGCAAAUGAAUGAAUGCCACGUAUUUUAAUCAUUGCAUAUUUAGUGAUCAGUUAUUAUUAUUCACUUGGUUUUCUGCUGUCUAGACAGGUACCUUAUGAUCCCAUGGAAGAACGAGAGAAUUCCAUUCUUGGUAAGAAAUUCCACUGACAUAUAAUAAACGGACAAGCACCAAUGAAGUUUGAAAAUGUCCUCAUGUUCUCCAGCACUGCUGAUGCAAAGAUUAGAAAAUCAUUAAGAUAUAAUAAUUAUUUAGUAACUUUUCUUUUUUCAUGUUUCUCUGCUCUUGUGAUCUCCUCAAGUCCUUAUCGUAUCUGAUGAGAUCAGAAACUGAAACUUUCUAGUAGAAAUAUAAAACUUUUAGUGUUUUUCUUGGAGAAAGUAUCCAUCAAUUAGUGGAAGCUCGUUGAGAAGAGGAAAA